GGGUUGUGAGGUUAAGCGACUAAGCGUACACGGUGGAUGCCCUGGCAGUCAGAGGCGAUGAAGGACGUGCUAAUCUGCGAUAAGCGUCGGUAAGGUGAUAUGAACCGUUAUAACCGGCGAUUUCCGAAUGGGGAAACCCAGUGUGAUUCGUCACACUAUCAUUAACUGAAUCCAUAGGUUAAUGAGGCGAACCGGGGGAACUGAAACAUCUAAGUACCCCGAGGAAAAGAAAUCAACCGAGAUUCCCCCAGUAGCGGCGAGCGAACGGGGAGCAGCCCAGAGCCUGAAUCAGUGUGUGUGUUAGUGGAAGCGUCUGGAAAGGCGCGCGAUACAGGGUGACAGCCCCGUACACAAAAAUGCACAUACUGUGAGCUCGAUGAGUAGGGCGGGACACGUGGUAUCCUGUCUGAAUAUGGGGGGGGACCAUCCUCCAAGGCUAAAUACUCCUGACUGACCGAUAGUGAACCAGUACCGUGAGGGAAAGGCGAAAAGAACCCCGGCGAGGGGAGUGAAAAAGAACCUGAAACCGUGUACGUACAAGCAGUGGGAGCACGCUUAGGCGUGUGACUGCGUACCUUUUGUAUAAUGGGUCAGCGACUUAUAUUCUGUAGCAAGGUUAACCGAAUAGGGGAGCCGAAGGGAAACCGAGUCUUAACUGGGCGUUAAGUUGCAGGGUAUAGACCCGAAACCCGGUGAUCUAGCCAUGGGCAGGUUGAAGGUUGGGUAACACUAACUGGAGGACCGAACCGACUAAUGUUGAAAAAUUAGC
rnacentral:rRNA from 1 species